GCUAAUUCACACAUUUAAAUCUCUAAAGGCACCUGAUCCUGUCUGAUCUUGGAAGCUAAGUAGAGUCAGCCUGCUUUCAUACUUGGAUGGGCACCCACCAAUGAAUACCAGGUGCUUUAGGU
rnacentral:rRNA from 1 species